rnacentral:lncRNA from 1 species
CCUGGCACUGGAAGAGUGGUUCUCUCCGCAUCUCCAGCUGCCCCAGGACUCAGGCCCCAUAGCUGAGGAGCAUCUCUGCUGACUGUGCCACUGAAGAACUCUGCCUCUCUGCUCCAGCUGUGUGAUGAUGAUACUGGUCCUGCUCACAUGUCAAGACAAUUCUGCUGACCCCAGCACAGGUUGCUUUCCAUGAGGGAGAAUGUGAGGCAUGUGUCUGCUGUCUUCACCUGUCGUUUUCCCCACGUCAUCACGCUUGAAGCUUGUCCAUUGUGCUUAUUUCCCUGGUUAUCAGCUGCCCAUCCAGAUCUACACAUUUCCUCUAACGCUGCUGUUCCCUCACCUGACCCAGGAAAGCCUUAGGAAGCUCUCGUUUGCCCCAGGAGCUGACCACAUGAUCCUCUCUCAACCAUCGGGCAGCAGUCCUGAGUCAGCACACCAGCCCUCAAGAUAAGAUCGUAUGGAGAAUUACAGAAGCUGGUGGCUGUGCUGAUCAUACCUUGACUCCCCAGUUGUGUUUGUUUUCUUCUGUGUUUGUUACCCAAGAUUUGUCAUUGAGAAUCCAGUUCUCAUCUGUGUCCUUGGAAGAGUUUCCCAGAAGGAAGCCCUUUCUCCUCAAGUACUGUGCUGGAGAUGAAGCAGGGAGCUCCUAUCAACCACGGCAGCUUGCUCCCAUCAGCACAAGGUCUGCAGGUCCAACAGAGGGGACCUCCGAUAGCGCCAUCCUGGUGGGGCCACUGUGUGAAAAAUGAGUCACACACUUGCAAAACGAGGGCAAGUACCCUACCCAAAUCCUGUGAAAUCACAAAAUUAGUCAUGAGCUGAAAUAAUCAUUGCUUUGUCUUUCCUCUUCUUGCUUUUGUAAACAGCCCUGCUUUUGAUGCUACUCCCUGACCAUAGCAGCCCCUAGUGGCAGCAGCUGAAACACACAGGAUUACACUGGCUCAGACAGCUCUUCCUCAGUGAGUCCCCAGACAUUCACAGGAGCCUGAAGACUCCCACAUGACCUCC